rnacentral:rRNA from 1 species
AACGAACGCUGGCGGCAGGCUUAACACAUGCAAGUCGAGCGCCCCGCAAGGGGAGCGGCAGACGGGUGAGUAACGCGUGGGAACAUACCCUUUUCUACGGAAUAACGCAGGGAAACUUGUGCUAAUACCGUAUGAGCCCUUCGGGGGAAAGAUUUAUCGGGAAAGGAUUGGCCCGCGGUGGAUUAGCUAGUUGGUGGGGUAAAGGCCUACCAAGGCGAUGAUCCAUAGCUGGUCUGAGAGGAUGAUCAGCCACAUUGGACCUGAGACACGGCCCAAACUCCUACGGGAGGCAGCAGGGGGGAAUAUUGGACAAUGGGCGCAAGCCUGAUCCAGCCAUGCCGCGUGGGUGAUGAAGGUCUUAGGAUUGUAAGGCUCUUUCACCGGAGAAGAUAAUGACGGUAUCCGGAGAAGAAGCCCCGGCUAACUUCGUGCCAGCCGCCGCCGUAAGAC